GCCAGAGGGUGUGUGAGGCACGGCCCCCUGGUGUGGUCCAGGUUCUGGGCGAGGCCAAUGGGAGGCUGCGGGCUGGGUGGCCGGUCCCUACUGACCACCCAUGAGACAAGGGGAGAGGACACCCAUGUGUUGUACAGCAUGACCCAUUUCCUAGGGAAACAGCGGUAGCACUGGCCGCCUCUGGGCGAGUUUUCCACUGUACCUUUUGCAUUUUAAACCACGUGGAUACAACAGUCUGUAAAUACUGGUAAACAGUGGGACGGGAUAGACAGCAACAGCAGCAGAGAUGAGGGCCGCCCGACGGCGCGGAGGGGCACCGGUGUGGCUGGUGUGCAGCCUGGGGCUGUGGAAGGCGCUGGGCCACCCCUAUGGAUCACUUUGGUUGCCCCAAAAGGAAAAUGUGGCGGGAGCUGAGCUGGGCACACAUUCUGCCGGCACAUCUGGACGCUGUCGUGCAAGACACCAUCCACGUCAUCGAGAGCCACAGCCGGGACCACUUCCUGUUUAAGGGCAGAGCCCUGUGCAAGAGUCUGCUCCUGGAUUACUUCGUGAGGAAGGACAAGGAUCUGGUUGGAGCUCUGGAGGCCUUGUGGCAGAGUCUGGAGGGCCGUCCCAACAUGUACUCCACUCUCACGUAUGAGAACAUCAUGCGAAGUUUGCACGUGGUGGUCUUUGGGGAGUACAUCCAGGCCCUGGCCACCCACCUCAAGAAGCUGGCGCCCGAGAAGUGGGAGGACAUCUUGGUUCAGGUGAACACUGACACCACGAAGUUGCACAACGUCUUCACGAAGCACAGGGAUGUCGGCUUGGCCAACCUACAGGAACCCAUCAUGGGAAUCUUCCAGCUCAGAGGGAACAAGGGCAGGGAGACUGUGGAUGACUGGCUGGCGUCCUUCAGGGACAGAUUCCCAAAUUAUUUAAGUGCCCAGGCCCAGCCAUGCUGCUCUGUGCUCUUGGAGGAGACCGAGGACAAGGGAAGCUGCUGCUCAUGCUGUUGACCCCAGCUCUGGUAAAGGUAACCGAGGCUGCAAGGCUCCAGAGCACUCCUCCAGGGUAGGCGAUAAGGCAGGGUCCAGCCCUGGGCCGGGUGGCCAGGGCAGGGACUUGGGGGACGUGGAGGGAAUGAGGUCGAGGGGCACAGCUGGAGCAUGGUCCCAUUGCUUUCAGAGGACAUUACGUCACCUUGUGCUCUCGGCCAGCAGUUCUCAAACGUUUUGGUCUCAGGAUACCUUUACUCUGAACAAUUACUCAAAGAACUGUGGCUUAUGGGAUUGCAUCUGAGAGUUACUACAUUAGAAUUAAAUCCAAGUAAUAUCUAGUAACAAUUCAUUUACAGUAUUUGUUAAAAUANUUAAAGAACUGUGGCUUAUGGGAUUGCAUCUGAGAGUUACUACAUUAGAAAUUAAAUCCAAGUAAUAUCUAGUAACAAUUCAUUUACAGUAUUUGUUAAAAUAAGUAGUAAUCCGGGGCACCUGGGUGGCUCAGUGGUUGAGCAUCUGCCUUUGACUCCAGUCAUGAUCUUGGGGUCCUGGGAUCAAGUCAUGCAUCGGGCUCCCUGCAGGGAGUCUGCUUCUCCCUCUUUCUCUGUGUCUCUCAUGAAUAAAUAGAUAAAAUCUUUUUAAAAAAUAGUAGUA
rnacentral:lncRNA from 1 species